UAAUCCGCCAGACCGAUAGCAACCAGUCCCGGAGGAAAGGUGCAAGCACUUGAGAGAGAGUCAGAGUACGUGAAACCGUUGAGAUGGAAACGGAGAGAGUUGACGAAAGCUAGUGUCAUUCAACUGUGUCGCACAAUCGCACUGGGGCAUGGCUACCUCUCUGAGGAGCUUGUUCUGGUGGUCAGAUGUGUGACGCUUGCAUUUGGUGCUGGUGUGCGCUGAGGGCUUUGACUGGGCGCUUUGAAGCGCUGCGUGUUGCCCACUUCGGUGGUGUCUUGCGCGUGACUAAAAGUGCUCGGCUAGAGUUAGCUGCAAAUGCCGGCUCGCUAGGCGUCUGUUGUUGCGUCGCUUUGUGUGCCUCGGUGGCGGUCGUCGAAAGGCGAUAGGCUGUCGAGGUGUGUUUGGUGGCUUAGCACGGACGUGGCUUGGCUUGUUCCUCGGUGUGACCGUCGAUCACCUCUCCGACCCGUCUUGAAACACGGACCAAGAAGUCUAGCAUAUACGCGAGUCAUUGGGUGGAAAACCUAUAGGCGCAAUGAAAGUAAAGGCGGCUUGACCCGCUGAUAUGAGAUCCGUUUGUGAAAACUGGCGGCGCAUCAUAUCCCCGUCCCGUAGGGCUUG
rnacentral:rRNA from 1 species